rnacentral:rRNA from 1 species
UGGGGAAUUUUGGACAAUGGGCGAAAGCCUGAUCCAGCCAUGCCGCGUGAGUGAAGAAGGCCUUCGGGUUGUAAAGCUCUUUCAGGUGGAAAGAAAACGCAUAGGUUAAUACCUUGUGCGGAUGACGGUACCAUCAGAAGAAGCACCGGCUAACUUCGUGCCAGCAGCCGCGGUAAUACGAAGGGUGCAAGCGUUACUCGGAAUUACUGGGCGUAAAGCGUGCGUAGGUGGUCGUUUAAGUCUGUUGUGAAAGCCCUGGGCUCAACCUGGGAACUGCAGUGGAAACUGGACGACUAGAGUGUGGUAGAGGGUAGCGGAAUUCCGCGUGUAGCAGUGAAAUGCGGAGAUAUGCGGAGGAACACCGAUGGCGAAGGCAAUCCCCUGGGCCUGCACUGACGCUCAUGCACGAAAGCGUGGGGAGCAAACA